rnacentral:rRNA from 1 species
GAGUAACGGAGGAGCACGAAGGUUGGCUAAUCCUGGUCGGACAUCAGGAGGUUAGUGCAAUGGCAUAAGCCAGCUUGACUGCGAGCGUGACGGCGCGAGCAGGUGCGAAAGCAGGUCAUAGUGAUCCGGUGGUUCUGAAUGGAAGGGCCAUCGCUCAACGGAUAAAAGGUACUCCGGGGAUAACAGGCUGAUACCGCCCAAGAGUUCAUAUCGACGGCGGUGUUUGGCACCUCGAUGUCGGCUCAUCACAUCCUGGGGCUGAAGUAGGUCCCAAGGGUAUGGCUGUUCGCCAUUUAAAGUGGUACGCGAGCUGGGUUUAGAACGUCGUGAGACAGUUCGGUCCCUAUCUGCCGUGGGCGCUGGAGAACUGAGGGGGGCUGCUCCUAGUACGAGAGGACCGGAGUGGACGCAUCACUGGUGUUCGGGUUGUCAUGCCAAUGGCACUGCCCGGUAGCUAAAUGCGGAAGAGAUAAGUGCUGAAAGCAUCUAAGCACGAAACUUGCC